GAGUUUGAUCAUGGCUCAGGACGAACGCUGGCGGCGUGCCUAACACAUGCAAGUCGAACGAAGCUUAGGACUUCGGUUUUAAGCUUAGUGGCGGACGGGUGAGUAACGCGUGAGUAACCUGCCUUACAGAGGGGGAUAACGUCUGGAAACGGACGCUAAUACCGCAUGACAUUUCAGCACCACAUGGUGCAGAAAUCAAAGGAGCAAUCCGCUGUAAGAUGGACUCGCGUCCGAUUAGCUAGAUGGUGAGAUAACAGCCCACCAUGGCGACGAUCGGUAGCCGGACUGAGAGGUUGAACGGCCACAUUGGGACUGAGACACGGCCCAGACUCCUACGGGAGGCAGCAGUGGGGGAUAUUGCACAAUGGAGGAAACUCUGAUGCAGCAACGCCGCGUGAAGGAAGACGGUCUUCGGAUUGUAAACUUUUGUACUUGGGACGAUAAUGACGGUACCCAAGCAGCAAGCCCCGGCUAACUACGUGCCAGCAGCCGCGGUAAUACGUAGGGAGCGAGCGUUGUCCGGAUUUACUGGGUGUAAAGGGUGCGUAGGCGGCUUGGCAAGUCAGUUGUGAAAACUAUGGGCUCAACCCAUAGCCUGCAAUUGAAACUGUUGAGCUUGAGUGAAGUAGAGGUAGGUGGAAUUCCCGGUGUAGCGGUGAAAUGCGUAGAGAUCGGGAGGAACACCAGUG
rnacentral:rRNA from 1 species